rnacentral:rRNA from 1 species
CUGACCUACGGGAGGCAGCAGUGAGGAAUAUUGGUCAAUGGACGAAAGUCUGAACCAGCCAUGCCGCGUGCAGGAAGACGGCUCUAUGAGUUGUAAACUGCUUUUGUACAAGGGUAAACCUGAAUACGUGUAUUCAGCUGAAAGUACUGUACGAAUAAGGAUCGGCUAACUCCGUGCCAGCAGCCGCGGUAAUACGGAGGAUCCAAGCGUUAUCCGGAUUUAUUGGGUUUAAAGGGUGCGUAGGCGGAUUGAUAAGUUAUAGGUGAAAUGUGCGGGCUCAAGUCGGUAACUGCCUCUAAUACUGG